rnacentral:lncRNA from 1 species
CAUGGAAGCACCACGCACCUCCCUGCAUAGACAAAGCGCUACAAAAGGUUAGCUGAAUCUUACCAUUAUCGCUGAGAACCCUUAGAACUGCAACUAAAACUGCGUUGUUGUAUCAUGCCAUUCGAAGGAGAACUGAGUCCAUCUGUAUCCACUAAUUUUUAAAGUCAACAGGCCAGCAGUACCCAGUUAACCGAGAUGUCAACACUGUGGAGUUGUAGGUCAUAUUUCAUCAUCUAGAAGGAUACACUGCUGCCAGGCUUGCAGUUUUCCAUACGUGCACUCACACCUGGUAGGUGCAAAGUAAACACCUCAUUAUACAAUACUGAAUAACAGAUAAAGUAACCUCUGUGGCAAAAGCUCUUGGACAUUUUUCUCUCCCAGUUCAGCUUUCCUGGGAAGUCAAGACUCAUUUUAUUUUAGCCAUAUGGUAGCAAAAUAUUCCCCACUCAGCACUGAUUACAACUUUCAUUUUUUUUUCUUUCUUUCCUACUCCACAUCAUUUUGAAAUGAUCAGCAUCUACCGCU